GCACCUCAAAGCAAACCCUGUCGAUUCUGUUUAGUGUUUGAUACGGGCAAAAGCUGGUGCUAUAGAGAUUCAAUGUAAAUCCAGAUGGACCUCCUCUCCCUGUGGAGCCUGUCUCUACAACCUUGAAACACAA